UCGAUGCCAUCUCCCUCCCACAAACACUCCCCAUCUCCCCUUUACUUUCUAUCUUUUCUUUCUCUCACCCCUCCCAACAGCCUCCCAAUAGCCCUUAACCACUAGCCAACCUCACCAUGAGCUUCGGCAAGUACCCCUCAAAUACCAAGAGUCCUCCCUAACGCCUUUAUUCAACAAAAUUUUGGGAGUUUCAUCGCAACUUAAGAGUUGGUUGAAAUUGAAUGCAUUGGAUUCACGGCAAUUCAAGCCACGAUGAGCCGUUGACAAUAGCCAGCAAGCUUUCCCACCAAAGGUGAUGUAGGCCACCCAUUCUCUGGCAAGAGUAGCCAACAACGGUGAAAAAUCAAUAGUGUUUCUCCCUUGAUACGUGCAUAGAAAGAACGACUUGCGAGCGUGAUUCCAACGCCAUCCAGUGUCGGAUGACCUCUCGAUGCUAGCUUUCAUUCCUAAUGAACAUCACCUUAAAUGGUGGCUGAAGGAAGGAGAGUCGAUUAGUGAAAAAGCAGAGAGAAAAUGGGCAUGGCAAUGGCUUUCCAACCAUUUUCCUAAUGAUCUGAUUGUCAGAUCGGCGAACCAAUACCACUGUUGAGCUUAGCAUGUCGAACCUUCAAGAUGAGACCAAGCUUGUUCCAAUCGAACACCAUUUAGAAAAGGCAAUCAUUGGAUGACGUAGAUCGAAUGGCACAAUUGGAUUGCUGAUAGCUCAACAGCACUUGGGACCAAGUGUUCGACAUGAUUUGAAUGCUCGACGACUUGUCCCAAAAGGUGGUCAUGUCUAUAAUCAAUCCUAGCCUGACAUUUUGAAUGCAUUGCAAGUAGUAGAAUAGACAAAGGUGAUCGAGGCCGCCCAUCUUCUUCCUUCUAGUCAUACCAACUAUAGUCAGGUCAUCAACUUUGUGAGUUGGAUAUUAAUUAUUUUUAUAAUUUCAGUAUUAUUUAUAUUUUUCAGGCAUGUUCAUGCGUUCACUUAUAUAUAUAUGUAUACAUGGAUGGGUGAGGAAGGUACGUGCGUUAUAUUAACGCUGACUCUCGCAAUAUGGAAUAAGAGAAACUAUUGGAUUUUAGAGAGUCAGGAUAUAGAGAUUGGCUCCCAAUAUGUAUUAAGUGUGCGUGUAUAGCUCAAAUUUAUCCUCUCAUGUAAGGACAGGAUGAUUUGUUUGUUUGUCGCAUUCUCACUUAUCGGACUGCAUUAGAAAUAGAUACUUAUAGAAAUUAUAACUAUAAUCAAUAUCUAAACUCAGAAAGAGCAUUUUUCUUUUAUAGUCCAAUCUGCAUUUUUUUUUUUUUUUU
rnacentral:misc_RNA from 1 species